GAUGAACGCUGGCGGCGUGCCUAAUACAUGCAAGUCGAGCGAACAGAUAAGGAGCUUGCUCCUUUGACGUUAGCGGCGGACGGGUGAGUAACACGUGGGUAACCUACCUAUAAGACUGGGAUAACUUCGGGAAACCGGAGCUAAUACCGGAUAACAUUUGGAACCGCAUGGUUCUAAAGUGAAAGAUGGUUUUGCUAUCACUUAUAGAUGGACCCGCGCCGUAUUAGCUAGUUGGUAAGGUAACGGCUUACCAAGGCAACGAUACGUAGCCGACCUGAGAGGGAGUCGGGCGAAAGGGUAACGGAACCACGGCCAAGCCGAGCAGGGGAGGCGGAGGGAGGAAAGCUGCCGAAAUGGGCGAAACUCGGAAGGAGAAAGGCGGGGGGGGUGAAAAGGGUUGUGGGCUCUAAAAACUUUUUUAUAAGGGAAAAAAAAAGGUGAAAGAAAAGUAGAACGUUGGGAGGGUACCAAAAAAGAAAGCCAGGGCUAACGAGGUG
rnacentral:rRNA from 1 species